AUGAUCUCACGGUCACAUCAAACAGAGUAUGGACAGAGAAGCAUUCCGGGCGGCUCCGUCGUCACGAGAAAGGAGGCUCGUGGGGGCCGCUUCCGAGGCCUGUUUUCUCCCAGCAGAGAGCCUGAACGCUCAAAGCGCAAGCUGAAGGGUCCACUCGGAGAGACAUCGCGCUCAGCCCGGGCUCUUCAGGGCUUUCACCCCGCGCGCGCGCAGGAAGCGGCUUCAGCACCGACGACUCCCACGAGCCCCCGCGGGUGCCUCGACAGGGCUGUCACAGGCCGAGCGUUAAGAGAAGCAGGGCCGUGACUGGCUGCGAGGCCCUGGCUGAGGGGAAAUUCCGGACCGGACUCUCCCGAAGGGCGAAGUAGUCCCCCGGGCUCCCACCCUACGGCGCCCAGAGGGCCACAGGGGGCCCGAACCGGGAGGACCGACUGCCACACGUCCCUGGCAUUCAAUGACUAACAUCUAUGAAGCGCCCACUACAGCCGAGGCGCUGGACUCGGUGGGGUCGGGGCCGGAGAUGGGGGCAGAGAAGGACGGGCAGAAGGCAACACAUACACCGAUGAAAUGUACUACAAGGGAGAACACGAUGGGGCGAAAGGAAGGGUCAGAAAAAGCACUCGAGGGGUUGCGAGGCCGUACAGUGGAGGUCCUGGGUUCAAGUCUGGCCUCAGACACUUCCUAGCGGGGUGACCCUGGACAAGUCACUUAGCCCCAUUGCCUGGCCCUCCUUAGAACUGACGCGAAGACAGAAGAUACAGAGUUUGGACUGCUGUAGGGUAUCUGUGGGGGGAGAGAAGACCUUCAGCUUGCUGGUCAAGGGGACGGUGCCCCAAACUGGUCCAUAAACCUGAGGAUUCCAAGGGGCCAGGAUGAGGGGGAAGCGCAUGUCCGGGAUGGGCCGCGUCUGAGGAGCAGCUCCUCCAUUGGCUGGAAGGCGGCGCCUGUGAGGGGCCUCCCACGUGGCCAUCCCUGCAGACAGGCUCCGGCCGUGCUCUCGGUCUGGCCAGCUGGGCAAAGAGGGGAAACGCACCACUGCAGAACAAGGAAGCCUGCGAUUUCCGGCAGCCGCGGAAGCAGACGGCGACUCUGAAUAGGGAAACGUCCCUCCUCUGGGGGCCACCGCGCGGGCGGCUUCCCCAUCGGGGCUGCUAUUCCGUCCUAACAAGAGACAUCAGCCCAGCGUUCUUUGGAAAAGAGCCCAGGGACGAGUUCCUUCUGAAGGAAGGCGCGCUGAAUCGGAGGCCGGAGAGGCGGGGCCCAGGCCAGAGGCGGGUUCCCAUAGCAACCAAUUCCGUGGAUCCAGAAAUCGGUGAAGAUGGGGCGGGAAAUAAAUAUCGAGCACGUUUCCA
rnacentral:lncRNA from 1 species